UUCCGGUUGAUCCUGCCGGACCUGACUGCUAUCGGAUUGAUACUAAGCCAUGCGAGUCUUUGCAGUAAUGCAAGGCAUACGGCUCAGUAACACGUAGUCAACCUACCCUAUGGACGAGAAUAAUCUCGGGAAACUGAGCAUAAUUCUUGAUAGAUCAUAAUGCCUGGAAUGGUUUAUGGUUAAAAUGAUUCGUCGCCAUAGGAUGGGACUGCGGCCUAUCAGCUUGUUGGUGAGGUAAUGGCCCACCAAGGCGAUUACAGGUACGGGCUCUGAGAGGAGAAGCCCGGAGAUGGGUACUGAGACACGGACCCAGGCCCUAUGGGGCGCAGCAGGCGAGAAAACUUUGCAAUGUGCGAAAGCACGACAAGGUUAAUCCGAGUGAUUUCUGCUAAAGAAAUCUUUUGCCAGUCGUAAAACCGCUGGUGAAUAAGGGGUGGGCAAGUUCUGGUGUCAGCCGCCGCGGUAAAACCAGCACCUCAAGUGGUCAGGAUGAUUAUUGGGCCUAAAGCAUCCGUAGCCGGCUUUGUAAGUUUUCGGUUAAAUCCAUGUGCUCAACGCAUGGGCUGCCGAAAAUACUGCAUAGCUAGGGAGUGGGAGAGGUAGACGGUACUCAGUAGGUAGGGGUAAAAUCCUUUGAUCUAUUGAUGACCACCUGUGGCGAAGGCGGUCUACCAGAACACGUUCGACGGUGAGGGAUGAAAGCUGGGGGAGCAAACCGGAUUAGAUACCCGGGUAGUCCCAGCUGUAAACGAUGCAGACUAGAUGAUGCAUUGGCAUAAUAGCCAUUGCAGUGUCUCAGGGAAGCCGUUAAGUCUGCCGCCUGGGAAGUACGUACGCAAGUAUGAAACUUAAAGGAAUUGGCGGGGGAGCACCACAAGGGGUGAAGCCUGCGGUUCAAUUGGAAUCAACGCCGGA
rnacentral:rRNA from 1 species